UACGGAGGGUGCAAGCGUUAUCCGGAUUCACUGGGUUUAAAGGGUGCGUAGGCGGACAGGUAAGUCAGUGGUGAAAUCUCUGGGCUUAACCCAGAAACUGCCGUUGAUACUAUUUGUCUUGAAUAUCCUGGAGGUAGGCGGAAUAUGUCAUGUAGCGGUGAAAUGCUUAGAUAUGACAUAGAACACCGAUAGCGAAGGCAGCUUACUACAGGAUGAUUGACGCUGAGGCGCGAAAGCGUGGGGAGCAAACAGG
rnacentral:rRNA from 1 species